CCUUAAAGAACCUGCCUUUGCAGUGCUCACACAGAUUGUCUGAUGAACGUAAAGAAGCAAGGCGUCUUGCGAUUGAGACUUCAGUGUCCCCUUCGUCUAGAGGCCCAGGACACCGCCCUUUCACGGCGGUAACAGGGGUUCGAAUCCCCUAGGGGACGCCACUUGCUGGUUCGUGAGUGAAAGACGCGUGCCGAACUAUCUCAAAACUCAUCUUCGGGUGACGUUUGAGAUAUUUGCUCUUUAAAAAUCUGGAUCAAGCUGAAAAUUGAAACGACACACAGUUAAUGUGUGUUCGAGUCUCUCAAAUUUUCGCAAUCUGAAGACAUCUUCGGGUUGUGA
rnacentral:misc_RNA from 1 species